CCCCUAGAUGUUCUGGGCCGCACGCGCGCUACACUGAACAGUUCAACAAGUCUUAACCUUGGCCGAUAGGUCUGGGUAAUCUUUGAACGCUGUUCGUGAUUGGGAUAGACCUUUGCAAUUAUGGGUCUUCAACGAGGAAUUCCUAGUAAACGCAAGUCAUCAGCUUGCAUUGAUUACGCCCCUGCCCUUUGUACACACCGCCCGUCGCACCUACCGAUUGAAUGGUCCGGUGAAAUCUCGGGACGGCGGCUCGGUCGCUUGCGUCCGACUGCUGAAACUUGAUUAAACCAUAUCAUUUAGAGGAAGGUGAAGUCGUAACA
rnacentral:rRNA from 1 species